UACGGGGGGGGCAAGCGUUGUUCGGAAUUACUGGGCGUAAAGGGCUCGUAGGUGGCCAACUAAGUCAGACGUGAAAUCCCUCGGCUUAACCGGGGAACUGCGUCUGAUACUGGAUGGCUUGAGUUUGGGAGAGGGACGCGGAAUUCCAGGUGUAGCGGUGAAAUGCGUAGAGAUGUGGAGGAACACCGAUGGCGAAGGCAGCCCCCUGGGCCAAUACUGACGCUCAUGCACGAAAGCGUGGGGAGCAAACAGG
rnacentral:rRNA from 1 species